AUGGUUCCUCUGGAGGCCUCCCGCCCCCACCCCGGGCCGGGCUGGGCUCCAGCUGUCAGGAAUGGCGGUCUGGCCCGUUCCCGGGAACUCGUGACAGCGCGGGGUGUCGGGCUGAGAGUGGGGGGCGGACGCCCCCGCCCCCCGCCCCGGGGAGCUGCCGCACCGCAGAGCUCGGCUCAACUUUCCCCACACCCGUCUCCGCAGAGCGGUCUGCGCGGAGUUGGGGCCGCCCGGCCCGCGCCCCCCGGCGCCCGCGCCCCCGCGCCCCCGCGCCCCCCGCCUCCCUGGGCGCCCCCCGCCUCCCUGGGCGCCCCGGCUGGGCGGGCUGCGGCCGGCGGGGAGCGCGGGGUCCUCCGGCAGCGGCGGGGCGGGGCGGGGGCGGGGCGGGGCGCGGGGCACUCACCGCUUCCUGGGGGGCUCACUGCGGAGCCGCGCCCGGGGCGCACGGGGCCCGCCCGGGCGCUGGCGGGGGCGGCGGGGGCGGCGGGGGCGGCGGCGGCGGCCGGGCUCCGGGGACCGGGGCGACGAGCCUGCGAGAGUGAGCGGCGGGGGUCAUGGCCCGGCCGGGCAGCGCGGACCCCGCUCCGCCCCGGCCGCCGCUCGGGCCGCCGCCGCGCGCACGCCUCCGGCCGCCCCCUCCCCGGCCCCUCGGGGCGGCGCUGCCCCUGGCCCCGCCCCGCCCGCGGGCGCCGGGUGGCUCGGGCCGGGGAGGGGGCGGAGCAGGCCCGCCCGCCGCCUCCCGGGGACCGUGCCAGGGGCGCGCCCGGCGCCCGCCUCGGUUCCCUCGCGCCCGGCCUGGGGAGGGGGGAGGGCGGGGCCCGGGGGAAGUUGGGGCCCCUCCCCGGGGCUGCGUGCCAGGCUGCCCGAGGCCGUGCACCCCAGCCCAGGUUGGGUGGGAAGGGGCGCGGGGCUCUCCCGGACCAGGUGGCCACAGAGGAGUGGGCCCCAUCGCCAGGCUGCGGAGAGGGGAGCCCAGGGGUGCGAGGUUCCACCUUCUCGCCAGCCCUAGCGCCCUACCCCUGCUCCAGGGGCUGGGGUGGGGGCGGGACAAGUAAGCAACGCCCCUCCCCCCUCUUGGGAGAGCUGUGGGGCUUCAGAGGGCCCUCGGGAUCAAAAGGCGGCCUCCCUGGUGUCGGGUUCGGCCCUUCCACCCUCCACUUCUCGAGAGAUUGA
rnacentral:lncRNA from 1 species